rnacentral:rRNA from 1 species
UACAGAGGUGCCGAGCGUUAGGCGGAAUCACUGGGCUUAAAGCGUGUGUAGGCGGACUUCUAAGUACCUUGUGAAAUCCCACGGCUCACCCGUGGAACUGCUGGGUAUACUGGUCGUCUUGAGCCACCUAGGGGCCAGCGGAACAAAUGGUGGAGCGGUGAAAUGCGUAGAUAUCACUUGGAACGCCAACGGUGAAAACAGCUGGCUGGGGGUGCACUGACACUGAGACACGAAAGCCAGGGGAGCGAACGGG